UACGGCGGGUGCAAGCGUUAUCCGGAUUCACUGGGUUUAAAGGGUGCGUCGGCGGGCAGGUAAGUCAGUGGUGAAAUCUCCGAGCUUAACUUGGAAACUGCCGUUGAUACUAUCUGCCUUGAAUAUUGUGGAGGUGAGCGGAAUAUGUCAUGUAGCGGUGAAAUGCUUAGAUAUGACAUAGAACACCAAUUGCGAAGGCAGCUCGCUACACAUAUAUUGACUCUGAGGCACGAAAGCGUGGGGAUCAAACAGG
rnacentral:rRNA from 1 species